GCGCCCUUGGACCUCAGACUUCUCCGCCAGCGCCUGCACCUGCGAGCCAUGCCCAGGCGGCAGGUGAUCUGCGGUCUGAGAGGCAGGGACCAGCUACUGGUGAGGAGAAGCCAGCCGCUGUGCAGGAGGCUGUGUUCUGUGGAUCUGGGCAUGCCCUGCCCUGGGACAUCAGAGCCCACAGUAGCGGUUGCCCCAGGGACAGAGCCUCAGACCAAAAGGUGGGGUGUUGGAAUUCAGCUGCUGACCGUCUGCGCGAACUGAUGAGGGAGUGGAUGGGUCGGGGGAAAUAUCACAGCCUGCUCUCACGUCCGCCUGGUGUGGAGCCCCUGGAAAGAGCAUCAUCCUUGCCCUAAUGAUGAGAGAUGAACCGGAAAAAGGGAAGGAAGACAAAACCUAACCCCAGCUCAGCUCCCGUCAAGGUUGAUUCAGCUGCCCAUGCUGCUACAGGAAGAGACCUAUUUCCUCGUCUUUUCCGCUGCACGUAAGAUGUUCAGUGUUCAGUCAACAUUUAUUCAGCCCAGACACACACACACACACACACACACACACACACACUAGUAAAACAAUACACAAAACUCACUGACAAAUAAUUGACGGACUCAUCGCAGAGACAAUCCCGGCAUUGGAACCGACAGUGCGGGUUUUAGAAUAACUGUGAGGAACAGGCCUGGAAUGUAGGGAAAAGCAUGAGCCGGGUGAGCAUCGGGGAGGGAACCAUAAAAAGACACCACGUAGCAGGUUAGACAUGAGGACGAUGAUGGCAGAGGUGGAGGACUGACUGCUCAGGAGUCGGCAGUCGGGUAAGUGAUCAGGGGCCUGGAGGGUGAGUCACAGGAAAUCACUCAGACGCAUACACAAGAAGACAGAGAGUGAAAAACCCUCAGAGCCAAGCAGCUCAGAUGCACAGCACAAAUCCUUCUGCACUGUCAACAGUAACAACUCCUGCAGCGCAUCCACAGGUAGACACAUGACGUUCCAGUUAAGGAAGGCAGAACGAAGAAGAAAACCUGGAAGGCAGCCACAGAAGAAGACACGUUGUUUAUGGAUGAGCAAAGAGACAAAUAUACAAGCCUUCUUGUCAGAAACAAUGCAAGCUCAAAGGCAACACUGCAACAACCUUAGACAGUGGAAGGAGAAAAACCAAACCACCUGCCAUCUGCACCAACUCUAGGCCCAGAAAAGCAGCAAAACCAGACCAGCG